UGGUGGAGUGAUUUGUCUGCUUAAUUGCGAUAACGAACGAGACCUUAACCUGCUAAAUAGCCGGGCUAGCUUUGGCUGGUCGUCGGCUUCUUAGAGGGACUAUCAGCUCAAGCCGAUGGAAGUUUGAGGCAAUAACA
rnacentral:rRNA from 1 species